rnacentral:misc_RNA from 1 species
GAUGAAGAACGUAGCGAAAUGCGAUACUUGGUGUGAAUUGCAGAAUCCCGUGAACCAUCGAGUCUUUGAACGCAAGUUGCGCCCGAAACCAUUAGGCCGAGGGCACGCCUGCCUGGGCGUCACACGUCGUUGCCCCCCCAUCUACUCCUUCGGGAUUGCGGGGGGCGGAUGAUGGCCUCCCGUGCGCCUUGUCGCGCGGUUGGCAUAAAUGCCAAGUCCUCGGCGACACACGCCACGACAAUCGGUGGUUGCGAAACCUCGGUUGCCCGUCGUGUGCGGUCGUCGCGCAUCGAGGGCUCGAAAAAAUUGUCGGGCUCCGGCUCGGCUUUCAACGCGACCCCAGGUCAGGCGGGGUUACCCGCUGAAUUUAAGCAUAUCAAUAAGCGGAGA